UACGUAGGAGACGAGCGUUGUCCGGAGUUACUGGGCGUAAAGGGUGCGCAGGCGGCCCUGCGCGUCGCGAGUGAAAAUCUCCCGGCUCAACUGGGAGGGUGGUCGCGAGACGGCAGGGCUUGAGGCUCGGUGAGGGGCGUGGAAUUCCGGGUGGAGCGGUGAAAUGCGUAGAGAUCCGGAGGAACACCAACGGCGUAGGCAGCGCCCUAGACGAGACCUGACGCUCAGGCACGAAAGCGCGGGAGCGAACAGG
rnacentral:rRNA from 1 species